CUCUCACAUCUUGAUGAUAUCUACCAAGUCAGUCUCUCCACUCAAGCUCUCGCCAGUGCUUUUGGAAUGUGAGAAGCACACAGAUCACCAUAGUAUCUGAGUAUCUCUGAGUUAUGGGAGAAUGUUGUCUCUUCAGAUCCGCACUUGAGGAGUCUUGAAAUUGGACUUGCAGGUGUAAGAAACUUUCACAGUAGUGACUUUUAGAAGGUCUGACCUUGGAUGGAGUGUUUUCAAAAAGGGUAUAAAGAAAGAUGUUCCUCAGCUCCUUUCCACUGCUGUCUUCCAACCAACGAUAUUCUGAAGAAAACAGAAGGAUCAGUGUGAAUCUGCAGAGGCAAUAGAUUUGAAAAAACAGUAAGGAAAAAACACAAAAUCAGCUUUAAGAAUCUAAAAAUCAGUGAGGUUUUGGAGGAAGAUAUCCUGGUACAAGAAGUACAACUACACAGUCACCAGUGGAUUUUAAUACUGGAAUUCUGAGGACUGGCACCUGGUAAGAAGAAAAUCUGUUUUGAUUACAAAUUGAACACAUGGAGGGCACAACUCCAGGAACAGCUUUUAACCUGAAUUGUCUAGAUCAGUCUGUCACCAAGGAAGGGCAGUGGGUCUUCCGAGCAGUCCCAGAUAUUGUGGACCAGAUUCUCUUCUUGCCUACAGCAGGUUACACUGGUGGAUGUAAUUUCAUUAUUUCAAGGGCAUUACACUGAUUAAAUCAAGACUAAGUGCAAGGAAGAUUGGGCCCUUCACAUUUAAUAAAGAACAUUUUAUAUUAAAUGUGUUUCUCUUAUAUAUGAAACUCUUCCAU